rnacentral:tRNA from 1 species
GGAAGAGCAUCGUCUCCGGUGGGGCGCGCGGCCUUCAAAGCCGUUGGGGUGCGUUAACGUGCCUGGUGGGUUCGACUCCUGCCUCUUCCGCCA